GCUGUCAGUGAUGAUUUGUUUUCCACCACGAGUUGAUCGUUCAUGAAAACAGCUCAGCAUGCACUACCAUCUGAGACAGA